AAGUUGUAGUGAUUCAGAGACCUCUGGCUCCGUGCGAACAUUGGAACAGUUACAAUCGAGCGGUAGUUCGACAGGCAAUAUUUCCCCAAGCAGUCAGUGUCGGAAAGUGUCAUUGAUUGUGCAAGGAUAGCGCUUCUACGAUUCCUGUAGACCGUACACUCGGGCAGGAGCUUUGCCAAAGGGUCCCCAUGCCCCCUAAUAACCCCACAGUUUAAUGUGAAGCUCAAUGUAGUACAUUGGGUAAAAAAACCGAACAACUGUUAACAAUGGAUAUCUUGGUUCUC
rnacentral:misc_RNA from 1 species